rnacentral:rRNA from 1 species
AGUGAACGCUGGCGGUAGGCCUAACACAUGCAAGUCGAACGGCAGCACAGUAAGAUCUUGCUCUUACGGGUUGCGAGUGGCGGACGGGUGAGGUAUACAUCGGAAUCUACUUUUUCGUGGGGGAUAACGUAGGGAAACUUACGCUAAUACCGCAUACGACCUACGGGUGAAAGCAGUGGAUCUUCUGACCUUGCGCGAUUGAAUGAGCCGAUGUCGGAUUAGCUAGUUGGCUGGGUAAAGGCCCACCAAGGCGACGAUCCGUAGCUGGUCUGAGAGGAUGAUCAGCGACACGGGAAGGGAGACAGGGACAAGAGGACUACGGGAGGGAGCAGUGGGGAAUAGUGGACAAGGGGGGGAAGCAUGAUACAGCGAGAGCGAGGGGGAGAAGAAGGCGUUCGGGGUGUAAAGACAGUUUGUUGGGAAAGAAAAGCAGCAGGUUAAUACGCAGCGGUAGUGACGGUAACGAAAGAAUAAGCACCGGCUAACUUCGUG